rnacentral:snRNA from 1 species
AUCGCUUCUCGGCCUUUUGGCUAAGAUCAAGUGGAGUAGCGGUGGGAGUAGGAAAGUGGGAUAUGAACUACUGUAACCCUUCUCUGUAAUGGAAUUUACAUUUUUAUUUAAAAAAAAAUUUUUUUUUCAUGUCCCCAGGCGUCCCCAAACCAGAGAAACAAGUCAAGGGUCACAGGAGCAGCAAUAUCGUUCCCUUGGCUUUGGCUCCUACCAUGU